GUGGAUGUAGCUCAGCUGGUUAGAGCGCCGGUCUGUGGAACCGGAGGUCGCGGGUUCAAAUCUCGUCAUCCACC
rnacentral:tRNA from 1 species